rnacentral:rRNA from 1 species
UGGGUGAGUAACGCGUACACAACAUGCCAUAUACUUGGGGUAUAGCUUUGGGAAACUUGAAGUGUAAUCCCCCAUAACAUUGCGAGAGGGCAUCUGAUUGCAUUAAAGUUUCGACCGGUAUAUGACUUGGGUGUGCGUUUGAUUAGCUAGUUGGUAGGGUAACGGCUACCAAGGGACGAUCAAUAGCUGGCGUGAGAGCGCGACAGCCACACUGGAACUUGAGACACGGUUCCAAACUCCUAACGGGAGGCACNGUACGGGAAUAUUGGNCAAUUGGGCGAAAGCCUGAUCCAGGCCAUGCCGCGUGAUAGAUGAAGGCCCUCUGGGUUGUAACAUCAUCUUUAUCUGGGAAGGAACACCUCGUUUCUACAGGAGGUUAGACUGGUACCAAGGGAAUAAGCCCACGGCUAACUCCCCGGUGGGCCCAAGGGAGAAGCACCCGGCCGGGGUGAACUUACACCCGGGAAGGAGGGGCUUNGCCCAACAGGNCCGGGUAUANAUUCACCCGGNGAAUUAUCCACACGAUGGGGGGGGUUUNCAACANACCAGGGGGAGCAUCGCACGGUAACGAGCGGUAGGGAGGGUACGAACACAAAGAGG